GGGCGAACAUGUGGGAUGAUACUCUCUGAAUCUGUUGCUUUAGGAGGCAUAAGGUCACUGCUGGUUGGAUCAGUAACGGGCAUAGAAAGAUGUGGCAUAAUGCUUUCUACCCCAACUGCCGAAGAAGAACCAAAAUCACUGUUGACUGAGUCAGCAUCGUGUGGGACAACUGCACCAGAAGAUUGAAUGGUACAAGGCACAUUACCAGUCAAAGAUUCCACAGUAAAUAAUGGCUCCAGCUUAUUUUGAUCUUUAUUUUUACUUGAUGUUUUUGUUUGUGCUGACAUAAUAUUCCCAACAUUUGACUUCUCAUAAGCAGAUCCACCAAGACCCAACUUCUCAGCCUUCUGAUCAGGGUAACUUCCAUGGUCCUCGACAAGGUGAGAAACCUCUCUCUCAUAUGAAGCAUCGUUAGUGCAAUUAACUGCUGCAGCAUGAAUUUCAUUCACAUGCAAGGUUGUAUUUGCACCAGAGUCAUCAUGAACAACAGAUUGGUAUGAUUUUGUAGAGCUUAUGAGCAAGGAAUCUUUGUUAUCCUUACCAUUUUGACUUUCAAGGGGUUGAACUGGUGCUGAUUCAUGGGAAAAUGAAUCUUUAGAUGAUCCAGAGGUAAGAUCAACCAAACAACUUUCACCACGAGGGUGCAUCUUGCCAUUUUUAAAUAACUCCUCAACUUCUGGAAUGCUGUUCCUUGGGAUGUUGCUUCCUUGUUCACCAUUCACUUUUCCAUGCAAACUGCUGUUUUGGUCGCUUGCAGUCCUCUGGUCCAUCAAUAGGAGAUCAGAAGGGGUUUGAUAGUUCUGGGAGUGCUCCAAGAAGUUGUCUACAGAAGGUUUGAAAUCAAUGGCUGAGGAUGCAGAGAGCCCAUCCUCAGAAAUGUUAAUAUUGUGUCCCAAUACAUCAAUUUCAGAUCUUGAGUUACAGUUGACAUGAGGUGAUUUGUUCUUGUAUUUCAUACCUGCGACUGAUAAUUUCUUGUCACAAGGUCUUUCAGCUUGGUAACAAAAUGGAUUAAUUUUUUCAACUGCAUUCAUCAUUUCUGAAUUAAAUUCCACGCGACCCUUUGGAAUUUGGCAUUGAUCAUCAGCAAUGGUA
rnacentral:misc_RNA from 1 species